UGACCCUGAUGAAUAUAAAAUGAGUCUGAUGAACUUGAGGAGAAGAUCAGAGUAUGCAAAGCUUGAGCAUACAAGACUGUAAAGUUUCUACUCACUAGAGCCAAAAAGAUACAUAUAUUGUGGGAGUUGAUGAUGAGUGUUAACAAGAAGACUGAUUGCAGUUAAGCAUCUCAGUGGUGGUAGAUUGUGGGCAAGAAAACAAGAUCGAGUCGCAGUGUGGGAGUUGCGGGCAUCUAAAUGUGGUGGGCUCCUUGUGGCACUUGGCACUUGGUUUCUGAGCCACCGUGAUUUAUCCUUCCACUAUCUUAUCAGGUUAGAGUGUGGGGUAGGAGUGAGGAAAUUUUGCCUUUUGUAUGCAAGUUUAGUAUGUGUUCAAUCUUGUAAUAUUUUGUUUUAGUACUCCAAACUUUCAAAGACUUCUUGGACAAUAUCUCUGUGAACUCUUCUUGAAUUCCCUUCCCUGUUGGAUAUUGUUGGCUUUUAGCUCAUU